GUAGGGCCGUCUACCCAACCAGAAGCGCUUUCGAGACAUGCGUUUACACGCGGUUGAAGUAAUCACGGCCGUUUUUCCAGUUCCCUUUCCUACGUCUCCUCCGGCCCUUCUUGUCACCGAGGGUCGAGUGGGGUCUCCUCAGGCAGGAGGGUCCCGGGGCCGGGGUCAAUGGGGUCUCCUCGAGCUGGAGGGGGCGUGGGUCCCAGGUCGCGGGGGGCGUCAGAUCCCUAGGGUGGACGGCGGCUGCGCGGGGCCAACAGUCGAGGCCAGCGGGUCCCUAAGUGCCACCAGCCACACCCGGCGCGACGUCAGCGGUGAGUGAGGCACGGACAAGACGGAGGCGCGCCAGGGGUACCGUCGACCUCGCAUCCCCGACCCCGGCCCCCGGGGAGGAGGGACGAAGGGCGCGGCGGCCUCGUAGCUGUGGUGGUAACUCUCGCAGGGAAGCGAGGUCGGGCCGGCUUGGGCCCGGCGCGGGGCGCUCUCUCCCAGCCUCAGAGGGCCUGCAGAGGGGCCUAGCAAGAUGCUUGUUCAGCGGAGCUGUCACACUGACCUGGCCUCUGACCCCGUAGCUAGUUAGGCAUGUCAUUUUACCUUUCUGAACCCCAGUUUCCUAUCCCUAAAGUCGAAAUGGUAAUGUAGCAAACAGAAAGGUUUUGUUUUUCUUUGGCUUUUUUCCCUGUGGGAGUCAGAUGAGAACACGCAGGGUGGAGUGCUUAUCACCAGGCCUGACGCUUACGUACUAAACAAGAUGGGCACGCAGGGGAAGUGACAGCAUUUAUCUGGAGUGGACCAUAAAUGUGCUGCAAACAUCUCAAAAACCUUUCUCCCCGUCAUUCCUCACAGACUGUAGCCGCUCACCCCAGUAAAACCAGAAUGUCUUCCCCAUUCCUUGCUCACUGCCAGAAAACUGUCUGAGCCCGGCCAAGGAGACCUCUUCAGCCAGCUGCUCAAUCUUUCCUUUCAAACGCCAGUGCUUGCUAUUUCCAACUUUAAUUGGUUAGAACUUGCAACUCUGUUCAGCCCCUUCUAAAUCUGACCCCAGUUUCUCAGAACCAAAACUAGGAACAGAGCUGACUGAUCAGAAUUUCCUUUAGAUACAUGAGGGUGUGGGUAUUGAAGAAGAACGUUCCUCUGGAUCAAACAAAGCAGAUCUACUCAAUUCAAUGUAUGUUUUUAUUGUAUGCUUACUAUAUGCAAAAUGAAAUUUGAAAUAAAAAUGUGAAUAAAAUGCUUAUCUACACUUUAAUAGAAUUGAGCCCCCAACAAUAUAUAGUUAGUAGCAAAUGAAAAUAAUAUAAACUGUGAAUUGCAGGAAAUCGGUAUAAAUACAUGGAAUACCUCAGGGUAUUCAGAGAUUAUAUUGUACUACAGGAACUAUAACAUUACUGUAUUUGUAUUACUGUAUUUGUCUAAAGAAAGUUUCUUGCUUAAAAAUAUAGUCAUUUUCACAGCUUUUAACCAUUUAGAAAUUUUGGGGGGAUGAUUUGUAUAGACCAUUUACAUAUUCUAAAAUUAACUUAAAUUUUCAUUUAAGUGUUAUAUGAAUACAUCAUUGUUGAAAAAGUUUAAAAAUCAAACCAUGAUUAUCAUCCCCUUAAAUUUUCAUCAUUUAAAUUUUUUCUUGUUCUGUGUUCUAUUAUGUAAAUGGAUAGAUUUGUCCAUAGGUGUAUAGUUCUGCAGUUUUCUUUUCAGAUAUGUAGGCUGGACAUUUGACAUUGGUAUCUCUCUCCAGUGUUUGGGAAAUUCUCCAUUAAGUGUGUCUUGGUGGAAGGUGGGGUCCCAUUUCAAAGGAAGAGGUACCUCUGCAAAUAUGUUGCAAGUGUUUUUCUCUGCAGAUUGUUAUCUGGCUUUUAACAUUUUUUUUUUCAAGGAAAAUUGUUACUGUUUGUGUUAUCAGGUUCAUGAAUCUGUUUUUUUGAUAGUUUCCAGGUUAUAGGUCAUGCUUACAAAACAAAACAAAAACUGUCCUCAUUCUAAGGAUAUAAAAUACCCAGUUUUUCAUACCAGCACUUUUAUAAUUAAAUGUAAUAUGUUCAAAUCUUCAUAUAUGUGGAGUUUAUUUUGCUGGAGUGAGCUAGUCAAUUUUCUCAAUGGUUCAAAAAAUUAAUCAAUGAAAUUUCCAGUUCUGUAUAGUAAACUUCACUCAUUCUAGUUACAAUUCCAUGGAUUUUGACAAAUUCAGAGAGUUGUGUGACUGCCACCACAACCAAAUUCAAACAUCAUCCCCCUAGAUUUCCUUAUGAUGUCUCUUUUGUAUCUGAUGCUCUCCACCUUUCUCAGCAAGCACUGGUUUUGUUCUACAACUCUAUAAUUUUUAAAAAAUAUUUUUAGUUGUUGAUGGAUUCAAUACCUUUAUUUUUUAUUUAUUUUUAUGUGGUGCAGAGGAUUGAAUCCAGUGCCUCAUACAUUCGAGGCAAGCACUCUACAACUGAGCUACUCCCCCAAUCCCUC
rnacentral:lncRNA from 1 species